UGAAAAGGGCAGGAGGCAUUGACCUAGA
rnacentral:piRNA from 1 species